UGGAGAUCAUUACAAGGUAAAAUAACCGCAAGGCUUAAGAGGAGGGGUGAGAAAAAGUCGUAUAAAAGGCGAGAGAAAAGAUGUCAGGGAUCAGUCGAGCGAGUAUCUCCGACACGGCAACAACUGCAGUGCACUUUUGCAAUCAGCUCUCAGCUAUCUGCCAUCAUCAGUUCUUAAUCAUGGUUGUAUACAAGGAGAAAGAAAAGGCGAAAGAAAUCAGUCGAGUGAGCAUCUCCGAUAUGCAAUGAGUUGCGGUGCACAGCAGCAACUGCAGUGCACUAUUUUACACCAACUGCAUUCUUCGUCGAGGUGCUAGUUUUAAAUCAUGGUAAACUUUGGCGUCGCGUGCUGCUGUUGGGUGUUGUAUAGUUGACGGCUGGUUCAGCCAUGGUGUACCAAUGUCUCCUGGGUAUGGUGGACAACAAAUCGCAACGCCGCCACCUUACUACACAACAUACGACACGACCAGUUGCUUCACCAAGGCCCCCAAGUACUACACCACCAAGGCUUAACAUUAUUGUACCAAAACUUAUGCUGCCUGAGCUACUACACCGAAGCCCCGAAGCAUUAUUCUUCCCCGAGGUACACAACCAGAGGUUCGAGUACUACAGCGAUGCACCGGAGUACUGCACCACCAAGGCACCGGAGUACUGCACUACCACAUAUUUCAUGGUUCUUAGAAAAGAUGAAACAAAUCAGUCAUCUCCGACACGACAACAUCAAUUGCAGUGCCAAGGCUUAGUAUUACACCACAAUUUAUGUUGCCCCGAGACUCUACACCAAAGCGCCUAAGUGCUAUAUCGAGGUCACUAAUUACUACACCACCAAGGCACCGGAUUACUACACUAAACAUACGCUGCUCCAGCUUAUUACACCGAGGCUCCCCAACACUACACCGGAGUACUACUACAUAUCAUGGUCGUAUGAAAGGAGAGAAAAGGUGGAAGAAUUCAGCAACCGAGUGAGCAUUUCUGUUACAGCAACAGGAACUGCCGUGCACUAGUUGUCAUCAUCUUCAUUCUUCGUCGCGUUACAAGUGUUUAAUAAAGUCUAGUUAACUAUGGUGGCGUGCUGCUGUUGGGUGUUGUAUCGUUGAUGGCUGGGUCGACCACUGGUGUGUUGAUUUCUCCUGGGUAUGGCGGGCAUGAACAACAACAUACGCAACAACCGGUCACUACACUGAGGCCCCCAAGUUCUACACCACCAAGGCUCCAGAGUAUUACACCACAGUUUAUGUUGGUCCGAGCUAUUGGCAGAAGCUCCGAAGUAUUUUUCUUUCUUUUUUUCGCACCACCAGAGUACUACACCACGCAGGCACCACCAGAGUACUACACCACGCAGGCACCACCAGAGUACUACACCACGCAGGCACUGGCAUGGUAAACCGAAGCUCCAGAUUACUACACUGCAACCUACGCUGCUCUAAAGUACUCUGAUGCUCCAAAGUACUACACCACCAAGGAAUCCGAGCAUACAACACUAUUACGCUUCUACCACCUGCUACAUCGAAGCUCCGAAAUCAGUACUCUGCCUCGAGUUACCACACCACUAAGGCAGCCGAUAAUAUUACACUACGAUCCUGCAAUUUUCUACUAGGAAUUAUCUAAAUACUAAAGCCGAAAUUUCUACUUGAGGUUAUUUAUAUUUGUCGGUUAUUUACAUGGUCGAUGUGAAUGGCCACUGGGAACUAAUUGUUGAUCUUUAAUGACAAAAUAAAAUUCUUUAUGCGGAUAAA
rnacentral:lncRNA from 1 species